AAUAAUUUUAAUAAUAUAAUUUUUGCUAUGAUUAAUAGAACUAUUAUGCAUUUUCAAUGUAUAGUAUUUGUCCAAUGAAAGAACUAUUAAUAUUUAGAUUUUUGUUUUUAGUUAUGGGGAUUAAUUAAACAAGGUUAUAAAUGCAGAGAUUGUGGAAUUAAUGCUCAUAAACAUUGUAAAGACCUGGUUGUUAUAGAAUGUAGGAGGAUAAGUUGUAUUUCACCAAGAGCCAAUUCUUUUGCUGGAACAGAUGGUAUAACGAUAAAGAGCAGAUUUCAACGCCACUGGAAGAAACAGCCCAAGACAAGCCAGUCCGAAGAAUCUACUCUGAGUCCAAGAACGAGCACAGAAUCUUGUAAUUGUGAAAAUGGUUUUAUAACCAUUGAAACUCCAACAGACGAAAUUCCAGAAUCCAUUAAUUAUGAAGUCAACGAGGACGAAACAGCCGAGUUGAUCGAAAAUAACAUAUCCAUGUCGGUUUCCAGAGAUCUGUCUAUAUCGUCGUCCAAGUGCAGAUGUCGGAAAGAUGUAUAUUCUCCGAAAUCACCGAUGGGGAAUGGGCAUGCGCAGUCAAAUCUGGUGACGCAACCAAACUCCUGAGAAGAUAUAUAUCCAUUGAUAGUUUUUGUGCAUUUUAGCUUCAUCAUUAUUAUUAAGUACAUUUUAAUCAUAAACUAGUCAUCAGCCGGGAAAAAAACAAAGAAAAAACACCCAACAGGUAUUUCUUCUGCUAAUAUUGUUUGAGACAUUUUUCACGUAUUUAAAAAGCGAGAUUAAAGUUUUAAGAAAAGUGUAUGAAAGGUGCAUUUUCCUUAAAUUUAGUACAACGCAUUUGGAUUAUAAAAACUAAAAACAAAUUGGUUUUACGAUAAAAUGAAAAAUCAUUGUGUAUAUAUUUGUUGCAAAAGUCCGUCGCUGCAACAAAAUAUCCAAUAAAAUAUAUUCGAUACAUACAGUAUUAUAUACUGUAUAUGAGGUAGAUAAUAUUUGUGAUUUUCUUUUUCUAUAUAUA